CGGCGGCGACCCCACGGGGUCGGUGACAGUGGGGCAGUCCGCAGCGGGCACGGUGCAAGCGGGCGACCGCACGGGGGGGCGGGGCCAGGACCGCCCUUCCCCGGGGACUCAGGUUCAGCUAAACUUCUCCCUGCUGUUCAUCCAUGAGCUGAUCUCAUUCAAGACUGGGCCAGCUUGUUGGCAGUGGUGUGGUCAUAUAUGGUAAAGGAUAGAGCACACAGACGAAUUCCAGUUCUAGUGACGACGUACCCAUUUUGUCGACGUUCAACAACCCAAUCAUUGAGAUCUUUCUCCAUCUCAGGAAAUGAAGCGCACCUCGUUGGACAUUUUUUCUUGCUUCUUAGCAUGUCUUUUAGUGUUGUUUUAUUUUUUUGCCAUUCUCUUAUUUGCUUCUCAUUGAUACAGAAUUCACGAGCAGCAGUGCAAUUAUUGUUUGCUUCUGCAUAUUCAACAACUUUAAGUUUGAAAGCUGCAUUAUAAGCAGACCAUUUUCUUUUGAUUUCAUCGUUCAUUUUAAAUACUAGUAUGAAAAUCUUAGAAAAUAAUAAUUUAGUUAUAGAUUUUGUAGGACUUUAUAUAGGAAUGUCACCUGCUUUAUCACUGUCAAAUUAUUAUUGUUCUUUGUUUAUUUCAAAGCAGCCCUGUAGAUUGGCACGUCUGUCACGAUAACAGGCUAUUUAAAUUUUAUUACAGAUUCCAUCGAUUCUGCACAUUAUAUUUUCAGAUUGGCUCGAAACUUACAAGUACCAUUGGUAGAAAUACAUGAAGAGAUCAAAUUACAGAGUAAUGGACUGACACCAGUGCCAUAGUACUAUCAUUCAUUGUGUUUUUCUGAUUGGCUUGUAAGGUGAAGCAUUUUGUGAAAUGCAUGGGUCAAAUGUCAUGCAGAUCUGUAGCACUGCUCUUUUAGCAUUCAUUUCAAGCCAAUCUAGUCCACGAAACAAAGCCUUUGCAACUUUAAACAGCUGCAAUAUUGACAUCAAUAAAUUAUUUGACGAUCAAUAUAAGUACGCGCUAUAAAAAUAAUUAUAAUAUAGUCCUGUAGUAGAACAAUACUAAGAAAAGUAAACAGCUAGUACUAGGAAAAUUGAACUUUACGGAAGCACAUGUUUUAAGUUCUUUAUUUACAUGGACAUGAACUGAGAAAAAUUAUAUAAUCGAUAUCCAAUGUUUUAUUUAUAUUAAUACUUCUUUUAUCUCAAUUAUAACAUAACAAAUAUACAAUUUAAGUAAAAAUAAAAUUUUAGAACAUUUGUAAAGAAGCAAAUCCAGAAUUGACGUUCCAUCAUCAGUGGUCUACAACAGGGGUCGGCAAACUUUGGCUCCUGGCCUGUCAGGGUAAGCCGCUGGCGGGCCGGGACAUUUUGUUAGGUAAACGUCCCAGCCCGCCAGUGGCUUACCCUGGUGGGCCGGGAGCCGAAGUUUGCCGACCCCUGAAAUAUAGGGUCGGCUUAUGAAAGGGUCAUACAGUUUUUGCCAUUUUUACCUACCCAUUUUGGGGGGUCGGCUUAUAAUGAAUGCGUAUAUAUAGUACUUUUUUAUUCAUCAGAACUAUGAUGAUUGUGAAAAGUGGAUAAAGGAAGAUUGUACAAACAGACUAAAGAUGUGCCAUACAGAUCUACGUAUAUUCUAAGUGUACUUUGUACUGGCAAAUCUAUGUGUGAGCCUGCAUGGCAUGUAACAAACAGUUUGAAGCCAUUGUGUUUUAAAAAGUACUGUCUUUUGGAUGGGACAUAAAAUUAAGGUCCUGGCCAUUUGCAUACACUAAAAGCUCCAUUGCAGUUUUUUGCAAGAGAAGGGGUUUUAGCUCCAGUGACAUGAGCAAAUUCCAAUUUGGGCAAUUAAAUUCUGCCUACCUAAAAUUAUCCUUAAUGUUAGUUCUUCACCUCCUAAAUAGUUGUGCACUGUUGCAUUAUGCAAGUUAAACUUUUGCUGCAGUGUACUUCAGAGUUGAUAGCAUUUUGGUAGAUAAUGUAAUUAAUUAUAUUACUGUGUAUUGCAGCAGGGUUUCUCAGCUGUGUUCUUCCUGAGGCCCCCCCCAACAUGCUAUAAAAACUCCACGGCCCACCUGUGCCACAACAACUGUGUUUCUGCAUAUAAAAGCCAGGGCCAGCGUUAGGGGGUAGCAGUCAGGGCAAUUGCCAGUUGCCCAGGCUUCAGCGUCAGCCCCGGGUGGUGGGGCUCGGGGCCCUGGGCUUCAGCCCCAUGAGGUGGGGCUUCAUCUUUCUGCCCUGGGCCCCAGCAAGUCUAAUGCUAGCCCUGCUUGACGGACCCCCUGAAAAUGGCUUGCAGCCCCCAAGCGGGCCCUGGACCCCUGGUUGAGAAACACUGUAUCAUAGUAUAUUCAUUCAUAUGUUACAUUAUGAUAUAAUAUGUGUGAUUCAUGAUAUGUAUAUGUAAUAUAUAUUAAAUGUUGCAUAGUUUUUUGUUAUAAGAUGAAUGAUAAUAUUUCUAGCAUCUCAGAACAGGAAAUGCUGUGAAAGAUUGCCUGUUUCUCUGCAUCUCACCAUGCUCAUGGUGUUCUACUUUGAAGAACAUGAAUUCUGUGAGUCUCUCAUUUUGUUCCUGCUGGUCUUGAAAAAUGUUAAGGACCCUCAAAGCAUCCAGGAUUUGAAUGUCAGCUGUUGAACUGUCCUGUAGGCCUAACAAUUCAGUGUUAUAUUAUUCCUGAGGAGGUGACAGAAUCUCACUUUCAGGUGUCACUAAAACAUAAAGGAUUUCCAGUGUGUAUAGACUUGAAUGGAAGAAACUGUACUCUGCGAUCAUGAGAAAACAGAUAAAUGUGCCAGAGGAGAUCUGCUACCACUUCAACUGUUUAAUGUCCCCAAGAUUCAAACCCAAUGUAACAAGUGAAACAUGAUAACAUGAUUUUUUUUUAAAGUAGUGGCAGUAAAUGCGUGAUUGUGAUGUUUGCUUGAAGUUUUGUUACUGUUGUUAUUAUGGUUUGUUUUCAGAUACCAAGAGAAAAUAAAUAUUAA